rnacentral:tRNA from 1 species
ACCUGUCUAGCCUAGUCGGUAGAGUGUAAGACUCUUAACUUUAUGGUCGUGGGUUUGAGCCCCACGGUGGGCG